rnacentral:lncRNA from 1 species
UCAUCCUUAGAGCAAUUUUUUUGAAAAAAAAAAUUCUUGGGGAAGGAAUUAAUGCCUCUAAGGUUGAACUUGAUGAAGUUCAAUAGCUAAAAUUGACACAAUCUAGUGAACCUACAGAAUUAGAUUUGAUGAUGUCAAACUCAAAACCUAUUGUAGAGACACCAUUAAGGAGAUCCGAUAGAGUAUCGCAUCAACAGGAC